rnacentral:rRNA from 1 species
GACGAACGCUGGCGGCGUGCUUAACACAUGCAAGUCGAACGGAAAGGCCUGCUUUCCCUUGUGGAUUGCGGGUGCUCGAGUGGCGAACGGGUGAGUAGCACGUGAGUGAUCUGCCCCCAACUUGGGUAUAAGCCUGGGAAACUGGGUCUAAUUCCCGAUAGGACUGCAGGGUGGUGCCUGUGGUGGAAAACGAUUUUCUAGUGGUUGGGGAUGAGCUCGCGGCCUAUCAGCUUGUUGGUGGGGUAAUGGCCUACCAAGGCGGCGACGGGUAGCCGGCCUGAGAGGGUGGACGGCCACAUUGGGACUGGGAUACGGCCCAGACUCCUACGGGAGGCAGCAGUGGGGAAUAUUGCACAAUGGGCGGAAGCCUGAUGCAGCGACGCCGCGUGGGGGAUGACGGCCUUCGGGUUGUAAACUCCUUUCGACCGCGAGGAAGCCACCUGGUUGGAAGGGUGGUGACGGUAGUGGUAGAAGAAGCACCGGCUAACUACGUG